GGAUUAGAUACCCUGGUAGUCCACGCCGUAAACGAUGUGCACUAGAUAUGAGGAGGUUGACCCUUUUCGUGUCGUAGCUAACGCAUUAAGUGCACCGCCUGGGGAGUACGGUCGCAAGACUAAAACUCAAAGGAAUUGACGGGGGCCCGCACAAGCGGUGGAUUAUGUGGUUUAAUUCGAAGCAACGCGCAGAACCUUACCUGGGCUUGAAGUCCCGAGAAUCUGUCCCAAAAGACGGAGUGCUCUUCGGAGAAUUCGGUGAUAGGCGCUGCAUGGCUGUCGUCAGCUCGUGCCG
rnacentral:rRNA from 1 species